GGUCGGGUCCAGUAGACGCCGUCCUGUGAAUCCCGCCAGGUCCGAGAGGAAGCAACGGUAGCAGUUCUUCGGAGUGCUAUUGGGUGCCCGGCCCUC
rnacentral:SRP_RNA from 1 species